UUUUCUUGUUAGUUUUUGAAGUAUGGUCUGCCCGCUGAUUGAAGGGCCGCGGUAUUUUGACCGUGCAAAGGUAGCAUAAUCAUUAGUUCUUUAAUUGUGAUCUGGUAUGAAUGGCUUGACGAGGCAUGGUCUGUCUUUUUGAAUUUGGUUUUUGAGUUAAAAUUCUUAAAUGUUUUUAUGGGACGAGAAGACCCUAUAGAGUUUUACAUUCGGUUCUUUUGUUUGUUUUUAUUGAUGCUUUUGUUUUGUUGGGGUGAUGGGAGGAAUUUUCUUAACUCCUCUUUAUUGGUAUAUUAUUUGUAUAUGUUUUGAUCCAUUUAUUUUGAUUAUAAGAUUAAAUUACCUUAGGGAUAACAGCGUUAUCCUCCUUGAGAGUUCUUAUUGGCGGGAGGGUUUGCGACCUCGAUGUUGGAUUAAGAUUAAUUUUUGGUGUAGGAGCUGAAUUGAUUGGGUCUGUUCGACCUUUAAAAUCUU
rnacentral:rRNA from 1 species